rnacentral:tRNA from 1 species
GUCGCCAUCGUCUAACGGUUAGGACACCGGGUUUUCAUCUCGGCAAUCGGGGUUCGAUUCCCCGUGGCGAUG